rnacentral:lncRNA from 1 species
CUCCCUCCUCAUGUGGGUGUGUCCUCUCCCGGUUGGGCGUGAUUUCCGAGUCACCUCAGUUACUCCAGGUCGCGUCCCUUCCUCUCCCGCUAUAUUUAUUUUCAUUCUCAAUGAUAUUUUUGAUUGGUUUCCCGUGGAGUGGGCGUGUCCUCGGGUUCCCGUAGCCACUCCCUCGCAGUGGGCGUGUUCCCUGCGUGGGCUUGGCCUUUAUGUCCCUCCGUUACUGCAGGACCUGUCCCCUUCCAUCCUGCUAUAUUUACUUUUAUUGUUAAUGAUAUUUUUGGCGGGUUCUCGGAGCUGGGCGUGGCCUCAGCUCCCCCUCCUUCAGUGGGCGUGGUCUCAGUCCCCCCUACUUUCCUCCCGACCGCACCCUUCCCUCCUUCCAUCUACGGACUCGGCCAUGGCGUGCGCAGCCCCACUGCUCCCGCUGCUCCUGUGGUUGCUGCUGGGAGACCCCGCGGGGGGCCAGGGUGGCGACUUCGACCUGUCAGAUGCACUAGACGGGCCGAAGAAACCGACCCCAGGGACAACCAAAGCGGCACCCAAGAAACCAGCAGGUGACCUAGACCUGAAGGAUGCAAUGGGAGAUGGUGGAAUUUCUGACACGGACCUGGAAGACGUGGUGGGGAAAGGAGGUCGAGGAGCAGGAGGGGGCGGGGCCAGACGCGAGGACCCGGAAGCAGGAGGAGGCCCUGCCCAGGAGGCCGUGAUCCCUGGGGUCGUGGCGGCCGUCUUGGCGGCAGUAGCAGGCGCUGUAUCGAGCUUCGUGGCCUAUCAGCGGCGGAAGCUAUGCUUCCGGGAGCGUGACUCCGCUGUGGUCUAG